AGUGGAGCGGUUUAACACGCCUGCCUGUCACGCAGGAGAUCGCGGGUUCGAUUCCCGUCGGGACCGCCA
rnacentral:tRNA from 1 species